rnacentral:ribozyme from 12 species
UUUUUUUUUUUUUUUUUUUUUUUUCGGGAAAAUAAGCUAGUUGUUAUAAAAUUAGCCUGGAGAUGAACGCUAAAGUAUUGCAGU